UACGUAGGCAGCGAGCGUUGCUCGGAAUCACUGGGCGUAAAGGGUGCGUAGGCGGGUCUUUUAAGUCAGGGGUGAAAUCCUGGAGCUCAACUCCAGAACUGCCUUUGAUACUGAGGAUCUUGAGUUCGGGAGAGGUGAGUGGAACUGCGAGUGUAGAGGUGAAAUUCGUAGAUAUUCGCAAGAACACCAGUGGCGAAGGCGGCUCACUGGCCCGAUACUGACGCUGAGGCACGAAAGCGUGGGGAGCAAACAGG
rnacentral:rRNA from 1 species